AAGGAACACAAUGUAAAAUGAUUCGUACUUCAAUUGAUAGAUGGCAGUGAAAGUCAAUUACGAGAAUGGACCAAUCGCAGAAUUCACGCUAUUUCAUAUUGUGAAAAUGUAUUUCCAGUUUUCAAUUUAGUGCCGAUGUUAUUAUACUUAAUCAUAUUUUAACGAAUGAAUGUACGAAAUAUGAACAUACUUAAAUAAGUACACAUCGAAAAUUUCUAUAUGUAAUAUGUAUGUUUUAUAUACAUAAAUAUACGAUGUGUAAAUUAUUUACGUUUCUCUGAUACUAUCAAUGUUUAUAAAAUUUAUUUUUAAUAUUUAUUUAACUUUCACGGUGGCUUACCUUAUUAAUAAUAUGGGUAGUUAAAUUAUUAGUAUCAGAUCAAAGUUUAUUGUUAUUUUAGCAUUAUGUAUUUACAUAAACUAAUUGAUAUCUAUUCUAUAUUAAUAAAAGAAACCUAAAAAUCCUAUCUUUUUAAA